rnacentral:rRNA from 1 species
UACGUAGGCAGCGAGCGUUGUUCGGAUUUACUGGGCGUAAAGGGUGCGUAGGCGGUUGUUUAAGUUUGGUGUGAAAUCUCCCGGCUCAACUGGGAGGGUGCGCCGAAUACUGAAUGACUUGGAGUGCGGGAGAGGAGAGUGGAAUUCCUGGUGUAGCGGUGAAAUGCGUAGAUAUCAGGAGGAACACCGGUGGUGUAGACGGCUCUCUGGACCGUAACUGACGCUGAGACACGAAAGCGUGGGUAGCAAACAGG